rnacentral:lncRNA from 1 species
GACCCCAUUUUUCAGGACACUGAAGUUGAAAAAACUGAAACAACUUAUCCAAGAUGAUAAAGCUAAUGACAAACUCCUGAGAUGAGAGGGAUGCUGUAGAGGGAAGUAUGAGAAGGAAGGAGGCGCUGCGCUAACUCGGAGAGCUCCAAAGGGAACGAGAUGGAUCGAGGAGAGACUGGAUGCCCAGCUGCCCCAUCCCGGUGCUUCCUACCCCACCUUCUCGGGAGAGAGGGCAGUGCAUUCUCUCCGUGGGCCCCCAGCAGGCCCGGGGCCGAGGCUCAGGCAGAGCUCAUUACUUAAUAGAGCUCAGGUUGACCCUGGCUUCUGUCCAAGGGGCAGGUUAACGCUUAACCAGGCCCCUCCACCCCACACUUCAGCCCCAGCUCUGGCCCAGGGCCUGGCGGGGUUCCAGCUGUUUUCUGCUUGGUGCAGAGGGUGUCCAGAGGCAUCUGGCCCCUCCCUGCCUCCUCAUGGAGGAGGGGCAGAGCCAGCGUGGUGGAGAAGAAAGAACACUGAGUUUGAAUUUGGAAGACCUUGGUUUGAAUCCUGAUUUUGCUGCUAUUCGUGACCUUGGGCAAGUCUCCUCACUUCUCCGAGGUUCUAGUUUCAAGGUUUUCCCAUGUCAAAGACGAGGGGUUUGGAUUGGAUGAUCCCUAAGGGCUCCUGCCAGCUCUGACGUUGGGACUUUCUGAGCGGCCAGCCUGCGCACAGUUAUUAUUAACUCUUAUUUAUUUGCUCUCUGGCCUCUGCUCAAAGUUGAUCUGUAACUGACUGCCGGCGAACCUCGCUAUGUCUUAAGGACAGAUUGGUUAGGCUGAGCCCAAAGCCCCGCCCACUUCUUCAUUGCUAAUCCUGCUAGGACCCAGAAGGGCCCAACACACCCAUUAAGACACCUCCCAAAUAGUUCUCCUGACUGGGCCUGGGCCUGGCAGGGCUUCCAAAGACUAGAUACGUUUUCCCACAUGGAUGUCUUCAGAGCUCCUGGACAGAUUGGUUCCGACGGGGAAAUCUAGCAUCAAUUAGGAUUUACACUGAACCCCUGCAGCGACUUGAGAGCUAGGUGGGUAGGCAGGCCCUUGUAAAGGCCCUGGAGGGAAACAAAAUGUGCAUAAAAUACAGCCUCUACCCUCCAAAGACGCUGAUAAAUCUGACUCACAGGAAAUAGCAUAAAGCCAGUCUAAAUGGAAUCAGGGCUAGACUGUGUAAUUCAGAUUCUUAAAGUGCCCGAGGAGUUCAAAGGAGGAGGAGACUAAGCUAGAAUAGUCAUAGAAGGCUUCAAGGAGGAGGUGGCAGGGUGAGUUUUGACAUAUUUCCCUUUCUGGACAGACCUAAAUUCUGGCUUUAUUCUUAGAGGUUAUGAGUCAGGACUGAAGUGGGACAAGGAAAAAGGCCCCCAGUAAAGAAAAUAACCCACAAAGCAAAUGGUAUAUUUUUUACCAAACAAUGCAUUUCCAUCAGGGGCUCGGAUUUGAAUUUGAAAUCUGAAAUACAUCAUUGAUAAAAAAUGACACCAUAGUAUAUUGGAAAGAUUCUUAGACUCACAAUUUUAG